UACGUAGGGUGCGAGCGUUGUCCGGAAUUAUUGGGCGUAAAGGGCUCGUAGGCGGUCUGUCACGUCGGGAGUGAAAACUCGGGGCUUAACUCCGAGCCUGCUUCCGAUACGGGCAGACUAGAGGUAUGCAGGGGAGAAUGGAAUUCCUGGUGUAGCGGUGAAAUGCGCAGAUAUCAGGAGGAACACCGGUGGCGAAGGCGGUUCUCUGGGCAUGACCUGACGCUGAGGAGCGAAAGUGUGGGGAGCGAACAGG
rnacentral:rRNA from 1 species